rnacentral:rRNA from 1 species
AUACGUAGGGUGCGAGCGUUGUCCGGAAUUACUGGGCGUAAAGAGCUCGUAGGUGGUUUGUCGCGUCGUCUGUGAAAUUCCGGGGCUUAACUCCGGGCGUGCAGGCGAUACGGGCAUAACUUGAGUACUGUAGGGGAGACUGGAAUUCCUGGUGUAGCGGUGAAAUGCGCAGAUAUCAGGAGGAACACCGGUGGCGAAGGCGGGUCUCUGGGCAGUAACUGACGCUGAGGAGCGAAAGCAUGGGUAGCGAACAGGAUUAGAUACCCUGGUAGUCCAUGCCGUAAACGGUGGGCGCUAGGUGUAGGGGACUUCCACGACUUCUGUGCCGUAGCUAACGCAUUAAGCGCCCCGCCUGGGGAGUACGGCCGCAAGGCUAAAACUCAAAUGAAUUGACGGG